UUAGGGAGACCUACCCACUCUAUGUUCAAAGCAAAGUGCAAAUAGACAUAAGAGCAGGUCAACCAAGGUCGAGCGAGUGUUGGAUUGCUGGCUUUCAAACAAUUCCAGGUUUAUUUCUCAGGAGUAGAGCGCGAUUAAUCUAGUUCAGUUGUUUCUCUAAUAAUGAAAGAGUCGUUAAACAAGAGUGCAAUUAAUUCUCUGUUUUAACUACUGAACGCCAGAGAACAGCACUAGUCAACAGAAUUUAUACAACUGAAUUGUUUCAGCAACUCAUCUAGUGAACAAAUAUGUUAGAUUAGAGAGCCUGCUGGAAUGAGCGCCAGCAAGAACCUUGAAAAUUGCAUAGCAAAAAACUUGUCAGGUAGAAACAGUGGGCAAGGUUAAGUGAACGCGCUUGUGAACAACUUCAUGAAAGAGUUUUUACUUAAGAUUGCACACUGAAUCACAGAUACUAAUGUCAAAAGU
rnacentral:misc_RNA from 1 species